GGAAAAUUUUUGUGCAGGUGCUAUAUGUGAAAAGUUGUCUGCAAUAUUUGGUUUAGCUAUUUUGGUAGUAAUAAAUAGAAUUUAUUAAAUUUUUAAAUUAUUUACUGCACUACAAAGGCAAUAAUUUAAUUCGAAUAUAUUCCAAAAAAAUCAGGGCAUAAGGUUUUUUUUGAUAUAUUUUUCCCGUAUUUGUCAUAGAAUAAAGCAUUUCUUAAUGCUAAUAUACUUCAGUUUUCCAAUUUUUACUACAGUUGAUCUUUGAGUUGGGGACAUGGUUGCUGCUGAUUCAAUUAUCAUUGAACCUCCUUAUUGAAGAAUGACAUUACCAAGACAGCACCAAGUCUCAGAAUCUAAAAACUUAAUACAAUGAUUUCUAAUUCAGCUAAUCAUCAAAAUCACCUGCAGAACUUUACAAAAAUUUAAAUCAUCAUGGCCAGAGAUUCUAUCCAACAGGUUUUGAAGCAAACCAGGAAACUGAAUUUUGAAAUGUUCCCAGAUCAUUCUGUUGAUCAGCCAAGUUUGGGAAUCUCCAGCUGAAAUGCCGAGGACUUAGUCUAUCUGCAGACUCAUCUCAUGACUACAGCCUAGCCAAGUUUGAGCUCCUACUCCAUUGGAGUCUCUGCACUAGAAAGAUUUGAAGGACGGAGCACAGUGCACCAUUAAGUGGGUUUACGAUCAGGAGACAAAGUACAAUAGGGCUUCAAGGACCACUGGAGCCCAGAUCUCAAAUAUGCUGGUGACAGCAAUGGAGGGGCCAUGAGCUUUGGAGGCAGUCUUGAUUCAAACGCUGGAUCUGCGCUGCUGUGAGAAGGGAAAAGAGGCUCAAGGAAGGAUAAGUAACUUGUUCAAGUACUGGCUCCUGAGCUCAGAGAAGAUACAGAGAGGAUCACGCUGACGUGAGCACUGACCACAAAGGGAAUGAGAUACUCCAAGAAAUGCCCCUUCCCUGUGGGGACAAGAUGGAAACUGCCAACCUCUCUGCAGGCGCCCCUCUGGCUGGAAGGAGGCACCAGAACACACUGCCACACUGCAUGCUGCAGUAUGUGACACGCUGCUGUUUCUUAAGAGCCUGUGUGAGAGGUCAGUGCCACCAAGUGGCUGAAAGGUGAGUGGGCAAACAGAAGGGUAUCUGCAAUACAGUGGCUUCCUACUGCUUCUGCUCGCCUUCCUCCCGCCUCUGCCACCCACCCAUUACCCCACGUCUCUCAGGACUCUCUGUGCUGUCCUUGGCUGACUAUAGGGUACUGGAUUAAUGUACUCUUUUAAGUUAGCUCUCAGGUGUCCAACUCUCCCUUUACACCUUAACCUAGACUUUGGCCUCCUUCCCUGCUCAAAUUGAUUCAUCCCAUCGUGAGGAAGAACUCUGACUACAGACCAAAGACUCCUUCAUUAGGUAGGACAGACAGAGAAUAAAUCAGUGUGUUCCCUCUCUAUUGGUGGAUACUUUCACAUUUGCUCUGAGCUCUGGCUUAACUCAAGGAACUAACUGGUAAUGGAGGAAGUUCAGGCAGGCUUGUGGGAGAGAUGGAUGGAUAGACAUUUUUUAUUAGCACUUUUCUAAUCAGUUGAGUUAAGAUAAGUGACCACAGGUGCAAGAGACCACAUUCUACAAUAUAAGGAAACACUCAAUAUAUAUGUCAUAUUUGUGCCCUCAAGGAAGUGGUGAUUCAGUAAGGUACAUAGAUCAUAAGCACAUGGAUUAAAAAAUUCACACAAGUAUUUAAAAAUGAUAGAAUAGCAUAAGAUAGGCAUAAAGUAUGCAGAACCAAUCAAGGAAAUAAAAGAUGAACUAGGCAUAAUGGUCACUGAGUAUCUGUGGUAUGCCAGAUAUUAUCAAGCACUCCCAUAAAUUUAAUUUUAUGUAAUCUACCCUAAACUGUUGUAUUUCAUGGAUCACAAAAGAAAACACCCAAACUCUUUCUUUUUUUCUUUAUUUUUAAAAUUUAUAUCAAUUUAAGGAGUAUAAGUGUGAUUGUAUUACAUGGAUAUGUUGUGUAGUGGCGAAGUCUCAGCUUUUCACGUAACCAUCGCCUGAAUCGAGGACUUGAUUUUUAAAUGGUGCUUGAGUCAACAUUUUGCAAUGUUGAAGGAUCAACAUUAAAUCAUUCUAAUCCCCCCUACUCUCUAGAAGCCAACACUUUUCAAAGUGUGCCAUGUGCAAAUGGCAUUUGGAUAAAUAUACAUAAUAAAAUUUAACAAUAAUGCCCUU